AUUGAACGCUGGCGGCAGGCCUAACACAUGCAAGUCGAACGAGUGGCGGACGGGUGAGUAAUGUCUGGGAAACUGCCUGAUGGAGGGGGAUAACUACUGGAAACGGUAGCUAAUACCGCAUACCAUCGGAUGUGCCCAGAUGGGAUUAGCUAGUGGGUGGGGUAAAGGCUCACCUAGGCGACGAUCCCUAGCGGGUCUGAGAGGAUGACGAGCAACACUGGAACGGGGAAACGGUCCAGACUCCUACGGGAGGCAGCAGUGGGGAAUAUUGGACAAUGGGGGAAAGCCUGAUGCAGCCAGGCCGCGGGGAUGAAGAGGGCCUUCGGGUUGUAAAGUACGUUCAGCGGGGAGGCGUUACCCGCAGAGGAAGCACCGGCUAACUCCGUGCCAGCAGCCGCGGUAAUAC
rnacentral:rRNA from 1 species